AAGUCGUAACAAGGUUUCCGUAGGUGAACCUGCGGAAGGAUCAUUAUCGAAGCAAAGGGUCCUUCGGGUUGUUGCUGGCCUCCUUGCGGAGGCAUGUGCACACCCGUCGGGCCCGUAUCCUUCUCCACCCCUGUGCACCUUCGCGUGGGUCCGUCGGCGUUGAGCCUUCGGAUCCGCGUCUUAUCUAUGAACCCCAUGUAUGUCUUCAGAAUGUCUAAUGCGAUAAAAAGCAUCUUAUACAACUUUCAACAACGGAUCUCUUGGCUCUC
rnacentral:misc_RNA from 1 species